GGGCUCUAACCUUUCACUGUUAGCAUAACAUUAGCAUUCCGGACAUUGAUAAAUAUUUGCUACAGCAUUUUAAAUACUGUAUGUGGCCGUUAUGCUCAUAUGCAGACAUUCAUUUUACAUUCUGUUGUCAUAUUUAAUAAGUAGCAUUGCCUUCAUGGUCUUUUCAAUUGCCUAUAAGCAAGGUAUUGGACCAUUUUAAUGUAUCUGUUUUGCCACACCUAUUAUACAUGAGAAUUUUUUUCUUUUUUUGCUUUUACACUUAAAUAUCUGACGUCUACAAACAUAAGCACCAUUGUUACUGAACAUGCAUAUGUGUGAUGUCAUACCAUACAGCAAGCUAAAUAUACCUCUCAAGUGGUAGAGUAUUUUCAAAGUACAGUAAAAAGGUAAAUUUUAAAAGAUGCUGGAAAAUAA